rnacentral:lncRNA from 1 species
CACCACCCACCUCCCUCUCUAUUUUCACCAUUUCCGGCCACUUGCAUCAGCACCUAGCAUCUCCACUCCCUCUUUUACUUCUUUCCUUGUUGGCUUCAACCUUCCCCUUUAUUUCUCACCGGCAAAUUGAAGUAAAGUGGAGGAAAAACCAUUCCUCUUCGCUGUCGAUGCUAGACUAACCACCUAUCAAUAUUUUUCGGCAAAUUGACCCCAAAAUCGGCUUUUCCAUCCUCCAAAACCUUAGGACAACCCCUCCUCGCCAUCGAACAACCGCGUCCAGCUCGUCCAAGCCACACAGGAGUAGAUUUUUUUUCCACCUCGAUCUAUCAUUUUUUGGCGAGAAUUAGGCUGCACUUUUAUAUAUUUGGAC